rnacentral:rRNA from 1 species
AUUGAACGCUGGCGGCAGGCCUAACACAUGCAAGUCGAGCGCGCGUCUGACGGUUGUGUAAUGUAUUGUGACUGCCCGAUAUAGUGGUCUAACUCCUGGAAACGGUAGCUAAUACCCCAUACUAUCUGCUAACCCCUAUGGGAUUAGCUCGUAGGUUAGGUACUGGCUCACCUAGGCGACGAUCCCUAGCUGGUCUGAGAGGAUGAUCAGCGACACUGGGACUGAGACACGGCCCAUAAUCCUACGGAGGCAGCAGUGGGUAAUAUUGCACAAGGGGAGAAAGCCUGAUGCAGCCAUGCCGCGUGUAUGAAUAAGGCCCUAGGGUUGUAAAGUACUUUCAGUCGGGAGGCGUUACCGAAAGAAGAAGAACCGGCUAACUCCGUGCCAGCAGCCGCGGUAAUUG